UGAUUCUGUGUGCAAGAGAUAAGAUGUAAC
rnacentral:piRNA from 1 species